AACGAACGCUGGCGGCAGGCUUAACACAUGCAAGUCGAACGAGAUGCUUUCCUUCGGGAAGGUUGACAGUGGCAGACGGGUGAGUAACACGUGGGAAUUUGCCCAGGAGUUCGGAACAACCCGGGGAAACUCGGGCUAAUACCGGAUACGCCCUUUGGGGGAAAGAUUUAUCGCUCCUGGAUAAGCCCGCGCCGGAUUAGCUUGUUGGUGAGGUAAAAGCUCACCAAGGCGACGAUCCGUAGCUGGUCUGAGAGGAUGAUCAGCCACACUGGGACUGAGACACGGCCCAGACUCCUACGGGAGGCAGCAGUGGGGAAUAUUGGACAAUGGGGGCAACCCUGAUCCAGCAAUGCCGCGUGUGUGAAGAAGGCCUGCGGGUUGUAAAGCACUUUCAGUAGAGAAGAAAAGCCUAGGGUUAAUACCCCUGAGUCUUUGACGUUUACCUACAGAAGAAGCUCCGGCUAACUCCGUGCCAG
rnacentral:rRNA from 1 species